GACGCCGGCGGCGUGCCUAACACAUGCAAGUCAACUUGACUGAAGGAGCAAUCUGACAGUAGAGUGGCGCAAGGGUGCGUAACGCGUAAGUAACUUGCCCAAGGUAAGGAAUAACGUCGAGAAAUCGGCGCUAAUACCUCAUAAUGCAGCGGAUCCGCAUGGAUAUGUUGUUAAAGGUUUACCGCCUUGGGAUAGGCUUGCGUCUGAUUAGUUAGUUGGUGUGGUAACGGCACACCAAGGCUACGAUCAGUAACUGGUCUGAGAGGAUGAUCAGUCACACUGGAACUGAGACACGGUCCAGACUCCUACGGGAGGCAGCAGUGAGGAAUAUUGGGCAAUGCUCGAAAGAGUGACCCAGCAACGCCGCGUGGAGGAUGAAGGUAUUCUAUAUCGUAAACUCCUGUGAGAGCAGACGAAAGACAGAUUAUUAAUCUGGAUGACUGUAUGCUCAGAGGAAGCCCCGGCUAACUACGUG
rnacentral:rRNA from 1 species